UAUUUAAAGUAUGCAGAAUCCGUGAAGGGUCGCUUCACCACCUCCAGAGACAACAGUAAGAACACACUUUACCUGCAGAUGAACAGCCUGAGAGUGGAGGACACGGCCAUCUAUUACUGUGCUAGAGACACAGUGCAGGAAAUCCAGUUCUGGGGACAGGGCA